rnacentral:sRNA from 1 species
AGGGGUCACCAUGAAUCGUGGCCCGAUGCUGUAGGUCGCAGUUCCACUACACCGUUGUACCGCCUUCCUCCUUGCGACCAGCCUUUCCGCCGCUUUGCGGCUUUACUUGCUCCAAGGAAAAUAGACAUGUCUCAGACAGAAACCGGUACGGUUAAGUGGUUCAACGAUGCUAAGGGCUUCGGCUUCAUCAGCCGUGACAAGGGCGGUGACGACGUGUUCGUGCACUUCCGCGCCAUCCAGUCGUCGGGCUUCAAGAGCCUGGUCGACGGCCAGAAGGUGUCCUUCGUUGUGACCCAGGGCCAGAAGGGCCUGCAGGCAGAGCAGGUUCAGGUGGUCUAACGACCCCCGGCUCUACCUAAAAGAACCCGGCCAUGUGCCGGGUUUUUUUUU